GGCGGCAGGCUACCAUGCAGUCGACGGUAACAGGAAGCAGCUUGCUGCUUCGCUGACGAGUGGCGGACGGGUGAGUAAUGUCUGGGAAACUGCCUGAUGGAGGGGGAUAACUACUGGAAACGGUAGCUAAUACCGCAUAACGUCGCAAGACCAAAGAGGGGGACCUUCGGGCCUCUUGCCAUCGGAUGUGCCCAGAUGGGAUUAGCUAGUAGGUGGGGUAACGGCUCACCUAGGCGACGAUCCCUAGCUGGUCUGAGAGGAUGACCAGCCACACUGGAACUGAGACACGGUCCAGACUCCUACGGGAGGCAGCAGUGGGGAAUAUUGCACAAUGGGCGCAAGCCUGAUGCAGCCAUGCCGCGUGUAUGAAGAAGGCCUUCGGGUUGUAAAGUACUUUCAGCGGGGAGGAAGGCGAUAAG
rnacentral:rRNA from 1 species